CUGGAUCUCAAUCUGUGUGCUCUUCUGCUGCCGCUGCCACUGGAGCCGCCGCUGCUGUCUAGUGCUUCCUACUGCUCCAUAUACACACGCAUACAUAUCUCUUUUUUUUUUCUUUCCCCUCCACGCCUCGCGUCACCGCCACUGGAGCCGCCGUCGCUGCUGCCACGGCUACAUCGCCUUUUUAUUUUACUUGAGGUGCGCACGCUUCGUCUGUUACUCCUUCUUGCUGGGAUCGGGUGUCGGCGCCGCCGUCGACACGUCGCGCAUCCCUCGCUGCUGUAUCUCCUUCUUGCUCCUACGCGUGCUUUCCAUCGCACAUGCAUAGGCGUACGCACGCGGCGCUCGCGGCCUCUUCAACGAACAAGCGCUGCGCGAGACCGGUGAACGGACGAACGUCUUGUCUCGCUCACCAUCGAUCAGCUCGGCCCAAUCCCUUUUCUAGGGCAAGGGGCGGUGUGGGCUCCGUGUCUCUGCCUUUCGCUGUCUGUGCGCGCUGUCGUCCUCGGCUGUCGUGACGACGAGCCUGUCGGCCCCCCGCACUCCGUUGCACCGUGUCACCACCACCACCCACCACCGUCAACGCCACCGCUGCUGCUGCUGCUGCUGCUGCCGUCGUCGUCGUAGCAGCCUCUCCGGCACCUGCGUCGGCGCUUAAGCUAUGCUUGCCUCCUUUCCCCUCCGCGCACACACGCACACACACGCACGCGUGCAUCCGCCGUUGCUUCCCCGUUGUCAACUUUUCAUUGCCGUCUUCUUGUGUCUGUUUCGACGGCGAGAGAGCGUGCGUGCGCGCUUGAGGUGAGGUGAGGACGUCGCUGCGGGCCUGCGUGUGUGCUCACAGAUCGAUUAUAUACGGCACACACACACACACGCACACGCACAAGGAGAGGGGAGGGUAGGGCUCAUCCGCGAUGUCGGCAUCGCCCUUCUCUGCCUUUAACGGCUUCCACGGCAAUGAUGACGAUGAUGGCAUCACGGCACUCAGCCAAGUGCGCCAGGCGCUCGCGGAGCGGCGACGGAUUCGCUCUGGCGUUUUCGCUGGCGCCGUCGACCCUGCGGCAGCAGCGUCGGCGUCGCCACCCUUGUUGGGCGAGGCGCGCAAGGACACCAGUCAUGAACCCUCCCUCCGUGUGGACCGCGGCGACGAGAACAGCGCUGACUGUCAACGCAGACAAGCGCCUGACUUUCACAAGCAGCACCGCGAGCGACGGUCGCCAUCUGCGCCAGACGCCUUCCUCUCGUGCGUGGAAGACGGAAAACUGCUGUCGGUGAGCUCGUUGCCAUCUCCGCUGGCGCGGGCGACGUCGGCAUCGCCGCCGAUAUCGAAAUCAUCGGCGCCGGUGUUGGGGGCGUUGCCCCCGUCGCCUUCGCCGCGCCACAUCUCGUACUACGGGGGCUUCCUGACCCACACGCUGGACGCGCACGACCUUGCGGUGGCCGUGUUCCCAAAGUCGAGCUACACGGACGCCCUGCCGCUGCCGAUGUCGGCGCCGCGGACGGAUAAUGAGUCGUCAGUGGCGGCAACGGAUCAGAGCAGCGCGCGCGGCCGCCGAGAGAGGCCCGCCGCCAGCGGGCGGUCCAGCGCAGCCUUCGACAAAACUCUCGCGGAGGCGAUGGUGUCGACGGUGGAGCGCAUGCGCGAGAAUGAGAAACGACGCGGCAGCUCCGCGCAGCCGCAGCAGCCGUUGCGGCGCGACUCGCUCUCGACAAACACCACGAUCGGCAGCACCGCUUUUGCCAGCAGCCACAGCCGUGGCGGUGCACCCGCGUUGACGGCGGCGUUGCGCGGCAGCCACAGGCCUGGACUUCCAACGACGCCCAUUACGAGACGCGCCAUGGCGGCCUUCGGCCACACCACUGCCGACGUCCUCAAUGUCGCGGAUGACAACGACAGCGUUGGCCUUCACCACGCGACGGCGAGAGUGUCGCCGCAACACCACAGCCCCAACGCCGGCGACACAGACGUGUACGCAGGCGAUUUCCGCGGCUCACCGAUGGCAGCCCUCACGCGCCCGGCGUCUUCGUCCGCGGCUGCCUCGCAGCACUGUCUGUGCACCUCAGGCACGCCAGAGUCGUCGUCAGCGCCACUGCGGAUAACGGCGCCCCGCGACAAGGAGCGCGCUGCGGCUGCGCGCAACCCGGACGCGCGAUCACGGCAGUCGUCAACGUCGCCCACAGCGCUGUCCGUUUUGUGGAACAUAACCGGGCAGCCCGUGAGCCGCGACUGGGUUCGUGGCCUUUCCGCCACAGCGAGUGGCCGCAGCGGAAGCACGAUGAUGACGGUCAGCAGCGGCACUGCGGACGUGGCAGUGCCGCAGGUUGCUGCAAAGGACGCCGCCCCACAGCUGUCGUAUCACCAGCUCACCGAGGCCUUCUACGGCAGCUACAAGGGUGGCGAGAUGGCGCAGGACGCGUACCUGUACUUCGUUGCUCAGCAGCAGCAGCAGCAGCAGCCCGAGGGAAGCAGUGGCAGCACAAAGUCACGCCAUGGCAGCAAGCACGAGCGAUCGAGGCCCUCGGCCGCGAUGACGACGACGCCGACACACACCGCUGCAAGAGCUCGGGGUGGGUGCGCGGUACAGCGGGUUUUCGUAUCAGGACAGUCGGAGAGCCAGCCAGGAAUGACCUCGCAAGCCUCAACGACCUCCCUCACAGCCGCCGCUGAAACCCACGCCGCUCCGGCGCAGCUGGAACCGCGCUUCAUUUCCACCGAUACCCCACUUUCGACGUUGCGGAGGAGCUCCGAUGCCGCAGCAGCAGCAGCAGAGCGGCAGCACCCCCAUUCACAGUCCGAGACACGGUCGAGAAGCGCCAGCCUUGUCAGCGUCCACAGCAGCAACGACGGCGGUUGUCACAGUAGCGGCAGUCGUGGUAAUGGGCACGGUGCCUCCUCGCCGUCGUCUCCGCUGAGGCUGUCGGUUACCGCGAGGGCGGUAACAGCAGCGACAACCGCAGCGAGGGGCGCUGUGAGGGAGCCUGUCGACGUCGGGAGAGUUCAGCCGCAGCAGCAGCAGCAGCCAUGGAAGACCUCGACAAGCAAGAAGAGGUCCACUGCUGUAGCGGUGGCGCAUGCUGCACCUAGCCAGCGUCGCGGCUCUGGAAGGUCGUCGUUCUCGAUGGAUGCGGAGCCGAGGGAUAUCGAGGUGGACCAGAUCAGUGAGCCACCAUCGGCUGCAGCGUCGUCAUCAGCCACAGCGGCGACAGAAACCGCAACAGCGACUGACCGCAUCCGGAACCUGCUGCACAAGUCGGUGUCCAUCUACCAAGAGGCGCAGCAACAGCAGUCGGAGCCGCAUGAGGGCCCUCCAGAUGCGUGAGGGAGUUGUUCGUGACGUUCUAGCCACCCGAGGAGCGGGUGACAGGUGCCUCCGAAGGACAGGGAUGAGCCUCCCAGACUCCGACACCGUUGACUACCAGCGUGGCUUGGUUCGCUGCUGUCGCUCCGGUGCGCGCGCCCGCUCAUCCAACGCGGUAUCGUCCUCGAUCCUACAGACAGUCGCACGCGCGGAUGGGGAGUGAGGGGAGGGGGCCGUGCCACCCACACCACCUCACCACGCCGCGGCGAACAGCGUCGCCCUUCGAUGCAUAUUAUAAUACGCGUUUGCCACUCCCUUGCUCGGCGCACACACACCUCACACCCCCUCCACCCCCGGCAACGGCCAUCGGACACGCGCUCACGCAGGGCAGACGCGCGCGCCCCCCCCUCAUCCUCCUCUUUUCUCUGUCGACGCUCAGAACGGGCACCGGCGAAACGAUGCGCGGUUGGGGGGAGGACCGCCGGCCACCAACACGGACCACAGGCACACACACGCAUAUAUAUAUAUAUAUAUAUUUACAUGCGUGUGUGUGCAUGUGUGUGUACGGGCCUCUUAAGCCAGUGAUGCGGUGCCUCCGUGAGUCGAUGGCGCCUCCAUCCCCCUACUCGCUCUCGGUUUGGGGUCACUGCAUCGAAGUUCGUUGCUCUUCUUCAGCCGUCUCGCUACGGCACAGAUGACGGGGUGGGGCGGCGGCGCACACACACACACACACACACGCACACGCCUCCGUGCGUGGGGGGGGGGGGGUGCCUCAGGCGCCAGGGCGCCCACCCACCCACCCACCCCUCACUCCUCCCUCCGCCGUCCCGGCCCAUGCCAGAACCACCUGUGGUGGCGACCAGGGCCGAGCAUCUGUGACGUCAGGGAGUGCCCCGGCAGAGCGCGAGUUAGGGCUACGGACGUCAGCGGCCAUGUCGUGCAUGGCGUUGCGUCGGGGCCACACGCGACAGUGAGCGCAGGUUUGCACCGUCCAUAUGAUGGGCAGAGCGUGUCAGCGCGGCUCGAGCGCAUCGCGGCCGGCCCCUCACACUGGCCUACCCGGGGGGGGGGGGGGGAGGGGGCCUGUGAAAGGGUUAUUGAGGGCUGGCGUAGAGUCGGCGUUGGCGUGAUGGGAUGACCUCACGUUGCGAGGAAGAGGAAGAGGAGACGAGACGAGACGUUGUCUGGUCGACUUUGCGGGCGCGCGCGCAGGCACAAGUAUGCAUAUCCCUAUGCAUCUAGCUAUCUAUCUCACUGAACUCCCAGUGCGCGCGAGAGAGAGGGGGUGGGACGGGCUCGUGAUGCCGUUGCGUGCGUCUCUCUGCUUCUCUACCUCUGCGGUCACGGAGGCCCACACACACACACACACACACACACACGCACGCGCACUUUAUUCAUCGCCGUCGUCCAAUUCUGCUCUCUGCACCUUGUGCAAGGGCGCAUGUGUCUGCCGGCAUCUGCGUCGCGCGGGUCUGCAGCACAGGCGGACAGCGACUCGGUCCUCAGGACCCUCCCCCCCUUUUUUCGAUAUACGGCACCGUGACCCGUUGCACGCGGAGACGCGUGGGCCAGAUGCGCUGUCGCCGGACGUGGAUGGAUCAAGCAGUAAGCGUCUCUACUCCGCGCCCUCGCCCCUUCAAACCUGUCCUUGUCCACCCAUCUCCUCUCUCGCUCCGCUGCUUGCACGCUCAUCAUGGGUGCCGGUUGUGGGCGGUCGCCACAUCAAUCCUCACACACACACACACACACGCAUGUAUACACGUGUGUGUGUGCGCGCGCGUGCGUGCGUGCCGUCCCCUUCGCGGCAG
rnacentral:misc_RNA from 1 species